UCAGAAAUACGCUCAGGAAUUGAGCCGGUUCGGCCGCGAUUCUGGACUAACGCCGCCCACUACUUCAUUCAAUGUACCCAGCCGUUGGAGCUACCAAUCUUCUUGAACACGCUCCUCCUCUUCGUAAUCCCCUUCAUCCAGCCGGCCGCUCACCCAGAUCUGCAGCUCCACCAGACCUCACUCCAGCCAUUGCCAGCAGCUCCACCGCUUCCUAGCCAUGUCUGCAUCUUCCUCGUCGGUAGGCCAUGACGAGAUCUUGCCUCUUGUUCCAUGCAAGGACUGCCAUGCCUGGAUUUACACUUGGAUUGCCUGCAGCGGAUUAAACGCUGGUCGCUUCUACAAAAAGGGCUUUGUGGAUACAUGAGGUCGACCGAGGAGUACCGUGCUCAGCUGAGUGACCAGAUUGUUGCAGAUCUUGUAGCCGCCCCUCAUCAGCCCGCAGCUUACAUGCACCGGAGAGCUAGAUCAGGCGAACCAAUGGAGGAGUGGAGGCGCGGACGCGAGCUUGCACGGAAUGGCCGAGUGGAGCAGCAGGCAUGGAGCGGGCACGCUCGGGUUAACACAGGAGGCGCAGCGGUGGCCACAUCACGAUCGGAGUGUUUAAGUUAGCCGUUCUAGUCAAGAUAGCCUAUCUGCUUAGUCGGUAGGAGAAUAGGUUAGUGCAGCCAUGUUCGUUAGAUAUCCUUGUGGUGCUAAGUUAAAUCCUUGUAAUCACGCAUAUUCGCCAGUAAUAAAUUAUGAUCCCGGUAUUAAUUUAAUUUUGUUGA